UUAGAUACCCUGGUAGUCCACGCUGUAAACGAUGAUUACUAGGUGUGGGGGGACUGACCCCUUCCGUGCCGGAGUUAACACAAUAAGUAAUCCACCUGGGGAGUACGGCCGCAAGGCUGAAACUCAAAGGAAUUGACGGGGGCCCGCACAAGCAGUGGAGUAUGUGGUUUAAUUCGACGCAACGCGAAGAACCUUACCAGGCCUUGACAUCGUCUGACAAUCCUGGAGACAGGACUUCCCUUCGGGGCAGACAGACAGGUGGUGCAUGGUUGUCGUCAGCUCGUGUCGUGAGAUGUUGGGUUAAGUCCCGCAACGAGCGCAACCCUUACAGUCAGUUGCUACGCAAGAGCACUCUGGCAGGACUGCCGUUGACAAAACGGAGGAAGGUGGGGAUGACGUCAAAUCAUCAUGCCCCUUAUGGCCUGNGCUACACACGUACUACAAUGGCACUUAACAACGAGAAGCAAAGCCGCGAGGCGGAGCGAAACUCCAAAAAGGGUCUCAGUUCAGAUUGCAGGCUGAAACUCGCCUGUAUGAAGUCGGAAUUGCUAGUAAUCGCGGAUCAGCAUGCCGCGGUGAAUACGUUCCCGGGCCUUGUACACACCGNCCGUCCACCAUGAGAAGUUGGCACACCCCGAGUCAGUAGUCUAACCGCAAGGGGACGCUGCCGAAGUGGGGUUGAUGAUUGGGGUGAAAUCGUACANGGUAGCCCAAAUUCACACACUGGCCGGCGUUCUAUGGGAUCCAACUCGGACCAACCUUGCCUGAUAUGGCAUAAA
rnacentral:rRNA from 1 species